CUGUUAACCUAAUUUCAUCCUCUCUGUUCAAACAAAUGACGACACCACUCACCAUUGCAGAUUCCGAUUCCGGUAACCGCCACACCGACCAUAAAAUCAAGAAAAUCUGAAAUUAGUCUUCGUUAACUUUCCGAUUCAAACUUUAUGCAAGGUUGCACAAUAAAAAGUAUACUCAAGAGUACAUUAAGCUAAAGGCACUUAAAGUUAAGACUGUGUAUGAAUAUAUACGAGAAGAGAUGUGUGGGUAAAUAGAGGCUAAAGUUGCAAAAAAUGGAAGCCAAACAUCAAAAAAUACAUUAGGAAAAUAUGAUCUUUUUGGAUGCUAUGGUAAAUUUUAAUAUUUGAUGUUUUUGGACGAUUUGAUAAACAUUGAUAUCUAUGUUUUUGGAUGAUUUGAUAGUUUUUGGUAUUGUAAUGUUAAUGUUUGGUUUUGGGUUUUAUAAUAUAUUUUUUUAUUUUUA